rnacentral:rRNA from 1 species
GACCAGACUCCUACGGGAGGCAGCAGUAGGGAAUAUUGCACAAUGGGGGAAACCCUGAUGCAGCGACGCCGCGUGAGUGAAGAAGUAUUUCGGUAUGUAAAGCUCUCUCAGCAGGGAAGAAAAUGACGGUACCUGACUAAGAAGCCCCGGCUAACUACGUGCCAGCAGCCGCGGUAAUACGUAGGGGGCAAGCGUUAUCCGGAUUUACUGGGUGUAAAGGGAGCGUAGACGGCAUGGCAAGUCAGAUGUGAAAGCCCGGGGCUCAACCCCGGGACUGCAUUUGAAACUGUCAGGCUGGAGUGCAGGAGAGGUAAGUGGAAUUCCUAGUGUAGCGGUGAAAUGCGUAGAUAUUAGGAGGAACACCAGUGGCGAAGGCGGCUUACUGGACAGUAACUGACGUUGAGGCUCGAAAGCGUGGGGAGCAAACAGGAUUAGAUACCCCCGUAGGG